AUUGAACGCUGGCGGCAGGCUUAACACAUGCAAGUCGAGCGGAGAGAGGUAGCUUGCUACUGAUCUUAGCGGCGGACGGGUGAGUAAUGCUUAGGAAUCUGCCUAUUAGUGGGGGACAACAUUUCGAAAGGAAUGCUAAUACCGCAUACGUCCUACGGGAGAAAGCAGGGGAUCUUCGGACCUUGCGCUAAUAGAUGAGCCUAAGUCGGAUUAGCUAGUUGGUGGGGUAAAGGCCUACCAAGGCGACGAUCUGUAGCGGGUCUGAGAGGAUGAUCCGCCACACUGGGACUGAGACACGGCCCAGACUCCUACGGGAGGCAGCAGUGGGGAAUAUUGGACAAUGGGCGCAAGACUGAUCCAGCCAUGCCGCGUGUGUGAAGAAGGCCUUAUGGUUGUAAAGCACUUUAAGCGAGGAGGAGGCUACUUUAGUUAAUACCUAGAGAUAGUGGACGUUACUCGCAGAAUAAGCACCGGUUAACUCUGUGCCAGCCGCCGCAGUAA
rnacentral:rRNA from 1 species